rnacentral:lncRNA from 1 species
UUCAAUGGACCUAUUGCAUUAUACUAUAUGCUUACAAAAAACAAGGAUUUGACGAUGCUGAAAACACUGAAGAGUUCUCUCUUGAUAAAAUUGACUCUACAACAUUACAAGAAUUUGAAGAUGAAUUGGAAAUUGCUGCGCAAAAUGAGGGGAGAUGUCUUGUAAUGGAUAAAAAGAAAAAAAUCAGAAAGAAUAAACAAAAAAAGCAAGAUGAAAAGGAU